rnacentral:rRNA from 1 species
UCGGAUGAAGGCUUUUGUGACUGAGUGGCGGACGGGUGAGUAACGCGUGGGUAACCUGCCUCAUACAGGGGGAUAACAGUUAGAAAUGACUGCUAAUACCGCAUAAGACCACGGAGCCGCAUGGCUCAGUGGGAAAAACUCCGGUGGUAUGAGAUGGACCCGCGUCUGAUUAGGUAGUUGGUGGGGUAACGGCCUACCAAGCCAACGAUCAGUAGCCGACCUGAGAGGGUGACCGGCCACAUUGGGACUGAGACACGGCCCAAACUCCUACGGGAGGCAGCAGUGGGGAAUAUUGCACAAUGGGGGAAACCCUGAUGCAGCGACGCCGCGUGAGCGAAGAAGUAUUUCGGUAUGUAAAGCUCUAUCAGCAGGGAAGAAAAUGACGGUACCUGACUAAGAAGCACCGGCUAAAUACGUGCCAGCAGCCGCGGUAAUACGUAUGGUGCAAGCGUUAUCCGGAUUUACUGGGUGUAAAGGGAGCGUAGACGGCUGUGUAAGUCUGAAGUGAAAGCCCGGGGCUCAACCCCGGGACUGCUUUGGAAACUAUGCAGCUAGAGUGUCGGAGAGGUAAGUGGAAUUCCCAGUGUAGCGGUGAAAUGCGUAGAUAUUGGGAGGAACACCAGUGGCG